rnacentral:rRNA from 1 species
UACGUAGGGUGCAAGCGUUAAUCGGAAUUACUGGGCGUAAAGCGUGCGCAGGCGGUGAUGUAAGACAGAGGUGAAAUCCCCGGGCUCAACCUGGGAACUGCCUUUGUGACUGCAAGGCUAGAGUGUGUCAGAGGGGGGUGGAAUUCCACGUGUAGCAGUGAAAUGCGUAGAGAUGUGGAGGAACACCGAUGGCGAAGGCGGCCAUCUGGACGACAUCUGACGCUGAGGCGCGAAAGCGUGGGGAGCAAACAGG